rnacentral:rRNA from 1 species
GACGAACGCUGGCGGCGUGCUUAACACAUGCAAGUCGAACGGAAAGGCCCUGCUUGCAGGGUACUCGAGUGGCGAACGGGUGAGUAACACGUGGGUGAUCUGCCCUGCACUUCGGGAUAAGCCUGGGAAACUGGGUCUAAUACCGGGUAGGAGCCAUUUUUAGUGUGAUGGUUGGAAAGUUUUUUUCGGUGUAGGAUGAGCUCGCGGCCUAUCAGCUUGUUGGUGGGGUAAUGGCCUACCAAGGCGGCGACGGGUAGCCGGCCUGGGAGGGUGGACGGCCACAUUGGGACUGGGAUACGGCCCAGACUCCUACGGGGGGCAGCAGUGGGGAAUAUUGCACAAUGGGCGCAAGCCUGAUGCAGCGACGCCGCGUGGGGGAUGACGGCCUUCGGGUUGGAAACUCCUUUCGCUAGGGACGAAGCUUUUUGUGACGGUACCUAGAUAAGAAGCACCGGCUAACUACGUG